CUAUGAGAAGGGAAAAGGUAAGUAAAAUUAUGAGAAGGGAGAUGGAAGGUAAAACUAUGAGAAGGGAAAAGGUAAAAUUAUGAGAAGGGAAAAGGUAAAAUUAUGAGAAGGGAGAUGGAAGGUAAAACUAUGAGAAGGGAAAAGGUAAAAUUAUGAGAAGGGAGAUGGAAGGUAAAACUAUGAGAAGGGAAAAGGUAAAAUUAUGAGAAGGGAGAUGGAAGGUAAAACUAUGAGAAGGGAAAAGGUAAAAUUAUGAGAAGGGAGAUGGAAGGUAAAACUAUGAGAAGGGAAAAGGUAAAAUUAUGAGAAGGGAGAUGGAAGGUAAAACUAUGAGAAGGGAAAAGGUAAAAUUAUGAGAAGGGAGAUGGAAGGUAAAACUAUGAGAAGGGAAACUAAGUAAAACCAUGGGAAGGGGAACUAUGAGAAGGGAGACUGGAGGUUAAACUAUUUGAAGGGAGGCUGACAGAGACCCUUUGUGAUAAAGAUAACAGUGAAUGUUCUGUGAACUAACUUUGCUUAUUCAAAAAUGUUUUCAGUAUAUGUAAGGAGAUGGAGUACAUGUGGCAUACAAUAUAAGUAAAGGAAAUAGUAGUUUUGAUAACUGUCAGGUGGCAUUGGAGGCUAUGUUUUUGUGGUGACAUUCCUGAACAAAAUGCCCCUGUCAAAGUUUUAUCAUUCAGUAUAGGUUCUCUUAAGCAAGUGGUUACAUGAUCAAAGAACUGAUAAUUCAUGGAAUUAGUCAUAAUUCAUGGAAUUAGUCAGUGAAAAUAUCUUUUAAUGGCAACUUCAAAGGUUGAAAUUCAUACAAACUUGCCCUCGAAGGAGGACUCGAUGUGUAAUCCUGGAAUGCAGACGUGGCUAUAUUUUCAUUUGUGUAUAUAAACGUUUAUGGAUUCAUGUACAAUGAUUAUACAGUCUAUAUGUAAUGCAAUGCUCAUUAUUAAUUUCUCAUUUAGGUUAAGGGUUUGGUAUCCCUUUCUCAGUAUAUCAAGGGCUUUCAUUUCCUGUUAUCUGGUUACUGUUGCUGCAAAAGAAAACUUUAGUGGAUAACUAAUGUGAAAUCUUUGGUUAUAUGUCACGACCUGCAUUUGUUUUAGGCCGUGUGAUUUUUGUUGCAAUUCCUGCACCUUAGAAAAAUAUAAUUAAAUACUACCUGUCUCUAGUAUAAACAAACCGUAUUAGGAGAAAUGCUUUUUUAUUUUGAAGUGUGUGGCUGUGUUCAGUUGAAAAUUUACUGUGUGAGAUCGGCGCAUAAUACUGAAAAGGAUGAGACAGUUAUCAAGGGUGUGUUAAGGUUUCAGAAAUCAUUGACCACAAAUUAGUCGGUUAAAGCAAGGUUGCUUUGGUAUUUGUGUGCUUUUUUUUUUUAUUUGAUUAUAAAGGUGGUAAAAUAGUCUUUGGUAACCCUGGUCAUGUAUUGUAGCAGGUUAAGGAAAAAGGGGGGCUUUCAGUUUAGUCAAAAACUUUUCCCAUGAAAUGUAGCAUAGUUGUCAUGGUAUUGAGUUAUUUUAUUGAAAGUAGAUAUUUGAAGUAGUGUUUGUAGAUUGUAUAUAAAUGGCUAAAUUUUUAUGGGUAAAAGUGCAGUUGUAUGUGCCUCUUAUCUAUGGUUCUGGUUUAUAUUUAUAUCAGACUAUUUUGUCUUAAUUGCAAUACAAUGUUUUGGCUGGUAUGUUUUAUUAAGUUAUUAAUUUGCUUGUUUGAUACAAAUUAUCUAAAAUUGAGUUUUUUGGUAGUAAGUCUGUCAGGUUUUGAGUAAAACCAAUUAGCUCCAGAUCUGGUGUGUGAUGUAUGUACUCAACUUCAAUUUAAAGGACAACUUUGGAACAUUUGGCUUAAUGACAGUCCUUAGCUGCGUUUGUGGCACUAGCUGGUGCCUGUAUGAUUCUUAACACACUGGCUGUUGAGACAUUUGCUUCUAUGCUUGGUCCUUGGCUUUUUAUUAUCUACACGAAUGACUGACCUUUAAGGAUAUUGAAUGAGAAUUUAUUACUUGGAAGAGGAGAAAAUAUUACUAUUAGGAAGAGGAAGCAUUACUAAUCUUAUGAUAUUUCCUAGUUAAGUCCCACUCAGUAUAUGCUGUCCUAGGUUGCCAUCUCAGAAGAAGGCUUAGAUUAGAUGCCAUCAGGCAAAGCAGCCAAACUCAACCAGAUCAGUCAGACACCAAGAAUGUCUUAAGGCGUGUAGAGUGCGUCAUUUUGUACUUUAGAAAAGCAUUAAUUAUGAAGUCAGUCAAUACAAAUAAUCUAAGAUUUUCAAAAUAUUUAGCUUCAGUAAUCAGACUAAAUCCAGUAGAAAGAAUGUACAACAUUAGCCACCAUGGGUAUUUCCUCAUAUAACAGAUAGACUCCUUUUGGAACAGAUGAACAGCUAAAGUUGUGAAUAGCACCACCCAUUUCAAGAGUAGAUUAGAUUGACUAAGAAUUGACACUUUAUGAUUUAUUUUAUGUGCAAUAUCUAUUUUUAUGUGCACUACUCUUUCAUGCAUGCUUAACAUGCCAAUUUUCCCCCUCGUUAUCUGUUGGAAAGCUUUGCUAUAGUGGCAUAAGUCUGGAACGUUAAGAACAAUGUUACUAGACUGAAUAAUUUAUUACUAUUAACACUUAUCUACAUUGCCUGGGUACCAAGAAUAAGACUGCCAUUUGUAUUAGAACUACCUUGGAUAUGUAGUUACAAAAUGGUAAAGAAGAUACUGAAUUGCAGUUGUCUCAUUGGUUCAGGUUUGAUUGUAUUUCAUAUCCAAUUAUUUUUCAUUGCUUUGUUUAUUGUACUUUAUUACCAAUUUCUUUAUUCCUCCUCAGUUUUAAUCAGAAAUUGAAUGCAAGAAAUCAGUGUUUCAUUGUGCCUUCAAGCUGUGAAAUUCUUGCUCUGAUUGUCCUUUUAAUUUGAAAAGGGCUUCAGUUAGUUUGCUUCCCUCAUGUCUUGAAGCCUAACAUGGUAUGAUUUUGAAUAUACACAGAUCAGUAGCUUACAUAUUUUUUCUUUCCUUCAUAAUUAGUUUCCAACUUUCUUGAGUAUUAAGCAAAUCUUGGCUUCAGUUUGUUUGGAUAUUAAUAAAAUUUUGGCCACAGAUUUGUAAAUUCAAGUUUAUCCAUGAAGAUGUACAAUGAAUGCCGUGAGUCUUCUAAGAUGACCUGUGAAUGAAACCACUCUUUCAGAGUUCCACUUCUUUCAUGACUGUACUGCCAUCGUUCAUAAAUGAGCAUUCUACUCUAUUUGGUCCUUCAGAUGUGCCAUGCUAAUUUGUAGUUCAUGAGUAUAUCUUUGGCUAUUUGUGGAAGACUUAAAUUUUACCUUAACUUCUAAGAAAGUCCAUUCUGUUCUUUAAUGCCCCUUUUCCAAAGGUAAGAAGAGAGAAUGGCACUUAUGGUGUCGACCUUUGAUUAUCAACUCUAGGUUUGAUUUUGAGCUGGCAUUUGCAAGAUCUGGAGUGGGUAUUAUUUUGAGCUAGUGUUACAACCCUCAGGGUUAUUAUGCAAGUUCUUAAAUUAUAAAGAUGUCAGUAAUAAAUGUAACUCAGUGCUAAAGGUCAGUGGAAGCAAACACCCAAGAAAACUUAACAAUAUUUAAUACUUAAUAAAUAUAAAAUUUAAAUCAGCCUUGUUGGAUGUAACAAAUACCAUAAUAAUUACGUACUCAAUAACAAGGAAGGAAAAAUACAAGUCCUUAGAAUCACACUGGAUUCCCUAAAAUUAAAAAGCUAAGUCCUAUCAAAGAAAGGGGAUAUGACAGUUAUUAAUAAUUGAUUUUUUUUAGAUCCAACACUUUUGCUGGCCAGACCUAAUAAUUGACUUGUUUAGAUCCAACAAUUUUGCUGGCCGGACCAAAAAUUACCCUAAUACUAAUUCAAAGGGAGAAGGAAGGCAGAGUAAGUAAAACAAGAAAACAAUUCUAAGUCCCACCUAUUACCACAAAGCUAAAUAAGUGAAACCUUGUCUAGAGACAAAGACCUGUCGGGUGAUGUUAUAAAGUCACAGCAUAAGUAUGACGAAAUAUAGAUAUAUAUAUAUAUUAGAUAAUACAAAUGAUGUAUAGUUCCAUCAGUGGAUGCAUCAGAGGAGAGACAAAACCAUGGCUAUGAUCCACACACCAAAACAGCUAUCAGGGCAGGUCCUGAACGUCAUAGUAUAACCAUAAAGGGAAGGCGAUCCCAAACGAAAACCAGAGAUACUCUGUCUUACCUGGCGUCAGCCUCCCUACAGGACAUCUCAUGAGCUAGCAAGCUCCCAAAACUACAGCGGCUGAUUGGAGACGCAGAAGAGGCAGGUAAAUUCACGAUAGUGCCAGGGGAAAGCGACGACACCAGUUCCCUGGGAAUUCCUCCUCGUCAGGGAAAGGCAGGAAUGGCUCAAGUCACAGGUGACAGGAGCACCUAUGAACCUCGUAUUGAAGUACCCAAGCCGCAGGUCGAGGCAGGAGACACUCGAGUCGCAGGUGACUAGAGAACCUGCAGAAAAUAGACCAAGGUGAGGGUUCAAAGCAUAAUCCAAAAAUUGUUGUCCAAAUAAACGGCCAAAUAAUCGUCAUCCAAUAUCCAAAUUAGUAUGCUGCUCAAAGAAUAAUAUCAGGGGAGUGCUCAAGCCCGAACUGAAAUCUGUCCGAGCACCAACGUUCAGACAUCACCAAGAUGCGUUCAUAAACACUUGUAAAAAAAAGAAAAAUGGUCAUUAAAGUGAUAGUUUGAUAAUAUAAACAAACUGGGAGGAGGCGCCUAACCACAAUGAGUAACGUUAAAUUAAACACGUUACGCUAAGCACUUUAAAUGACUAGACAACGGGCACUUAAAACUUCAAAAAUAAUAUAAACAAAUACUCAUACAAAACAAAGGCUAUUCUGCCACAAAAUGGUUCUUAAAAAGUAGUAAUUAAACCUAGAAAAACAAGGCUGAUAUAAAUUUACAAAAGGCAAAUAAAAAUAAUCUAGUCUUUUCUAAUAGCUGGCAUUUGCAAGAUCUGGAGAUGGAUUGAUUUUGACCUGGCAUUUGUAAGAUCUAGUGUGGGUUUGAUUUUGGCCUGGCAUUUGCGCAAACGAGAAAUAAGAGUAUCAAGGAUAUAAGACACAUAAGACAGAUUAAGAAAUGAGAGACAUAAUAAGGAGAUGGGAAGAAUAUUUUGAGGCCUUAUUGAAUGAAGAAAAUGAAAGACUUCUAAGAGGAGAUGGACACACAAAUUGUGAACCAGUCACAGAAAUAACAAGAGCUGAGGUUAGAGUGACACUGGGAAAGAUGAAAAAUAGUAAAGCAGUGAGACCGGAUGGCAUACCUGCAGAAGCCUGGAAGGCUCUUGAUGAGGAAGGAAUUGACAUAUUGUGGCAGUUAAUGAAAAAGGUAUGGAAAGUGGGACGAUACCCGAAAAAUGGAGAGAAAGUAUAUUAAUCCCAAUAUUCAAAGAGAAAGGGGACAUUCAGUGUUGUGAAAAUUACAGAGGAAUAAAGAUCAUGUCACAUACACUUAAUGUAUUUGAAAGAUUACGGCAAGUUUUCAUUUGUAGACAGCAACUAGGAUUCAUGAAGGGGCUCAGUACUGUGAAUGGUAUUUUUGCUCAGACACAAUUAUGGAAAAGUACAGAGAGAAGUAAAAGGUCUUGCAUAUGGCCUUUAUAGACCUUGAGAAGGCAUAUGACAGAGUACCACGUCAGGAAAUAUGGUGAUGUCUCAGGGAGAGAGGAGUGAUGGAGAAGUAUGUCAGAAUGAUCAGGAAAUGUAUAGAAAUGUACAGACCAGCGUCAGAUCUACAGUUGGAAGAACAGAAAAUUUCCAAGUUUGAGUCGGGCUACAUCAGGGAUCUGCUCUGAGCCGACUUCUGUUUAACAUUGUCUUGGAUGUGUUAACAGAGGGUGUCAGGGAGGAGCCUACAUGAUGUCUGCUCUAUGCAGAUGACAUAGUCUUGGUAGCCAAGAACAGGGAAGAGCUGGAGGGGAAGCUUGAAAGAUGGAGAUAUGCCUUGGAGAGUAGAGGUUUAAGGAAAAGCAGGAAAAAGACAAUGUAUGACAACCGAAUUGGAUGGCAACCAGCGAAAAGCAGGAAAAAGAGUGAAUAUAUGACAUGGAAGAGGAAAUUUACAACCGGAUUCAGUGUGGCUGGAACAACUGGAGGAAGGUGUCUGGUGUCAUAUGUGAUACGAAAGUCCCUAUAAGAUUAAAGGGCAGAGUGCACAAGGCAGUGGUCAGACUAGCAAUGACAUAUGGAUUGAAAGCAGCACCACUAAAGGAAACAGAGGGCAGAAAGGUGGACGUAACCAAGAAGAGGAUGCUUACGUGGAUGAGUGGAGUAACCAAAAAGGACAGGGUUAGAAAUUAACAUAUUAGGGGUACAGUAAAGGUCACUGAAGCAUCCAAGAAAGUGCAAGAGGCAAGGUUAAGAUGGUAUGGCCACCUGAUGAGAAGAGAAGAGCAACCCAUGGCAAGAGAAGUGAUGGACAUGGAGGUGGAUGGAACACGAAGGAGAGGAAGACCUAAGACCAGGUGGAGAGAUUGCAUUAGAAAUGAUAUGAGGGAGAAGGGAGUAUGGGAGGAAAUGACACAGGACAGAGGUAGAUGGAAAAGAGACUUUAAAAACGGCAUCCCUGAAUAGGGAUAAAGCUGGGAAGAAGAAGAAGAAAAAUUUGGAAGAUAUGGAUUUCAUUUUCUGCUGUUUGCUGCUCACCCAAUUGACUUGGCUUUGAGAUGUUACUGGAACUUAGGAAAUUAUCCGUGGACAGGCAAAAAUUGUUGAAUUCCUUAGUUUCUUUAAUGUAUUAUUAAACCUAAGCCUAUUACUACUGGUAUAAUUAUGUAUAAGUAUUUAUUUUCACUACCUUUAAAGGUUCUAAUAUGGGUAGUAUUCAUUUUAGUACUAACUUAAUGUAGGUCUUCAGCAUCAGCCUUUUAGAAAUCAGUGUUGGAUUGAUCAGGCACUAGAAAAGCCUAUUGCUACAUAAUGUAUUGAACACAAUUAAAAGGACUUGAGGAACUUGCUUUUAUGUUGACGUGUGUGUUUGACUAUCCCUUCCAAUAGGGGCCUGUAUUUAGGGGCUUCAAACUUAUUGUUAAUGUGCUUCACACAGAUAAAUCUUCUAAUGGCAUGUUGGUAUCCAAGGUAAGAGUGGACAAUCUUUAAGAAUGAUUGUAGUAACCCAAUAACUGUGGGUAGCUGAUGCAUUCCCCUUUUAUGAAGAUCCUGUUGGGUGUCCACAAAAAGAGUACUUUUGGAUUUUCAUUCAGUCAAGGUAACACCAGAUCUGGAUCUAAUGGCUUUUCCUUUAAAAACUGCCACCGUAAUGUUUUAUGGGAUUAGAACCCCUAUUAUUCCGGUUGAAAAAUAGCAAAUUUGAUACGAUGUAGCAAAAGCUAUCCUGUGGUUUUUGAGGCUUUUGCAGGUUGUAGAUUUUUUAUUUAUGUAGUUUUCAA